UACAGAACUGGUGAACAUAUUGUGGGGUUGGGGGAAACUAUGAGCUUAGCCCUACAGAAGGGAGCUGUGUGGCAACGAGUAGGUGGGCUAAGAUUGUGUCACUGUUGCUGGAUGGUGAUUACAGUAUAUCUUCAUUGGUGUGUGCCAGAGUGUGUUAAUAUGCAUAUGUACAUAAUAUGCAUACAUACAUAAUAUACAAAUACAUGUAAGGUUUUUUUAUUUAAAAAAUUACUAAAAGCAUUAUAUAAUUGUAAGCAGCAAAUGCUGUGAAUUUCAGGUCAUCUUCAUUAAUACUGUGUGAUAUCAGGAUGAGACUUCCUCUUAGGCAGAAGCAUGUACUGCAGGUUUCUUUGUCAGAAAUACUAGCUCCUUGGAUGUAUGCGCUCGUGCUCUGCCUCUUGAAUUGGAUGAGGGAGGAAAAGCAAACAGGUGGUGAAAAUGGUCCCUCAUGCUGGAAAAAUCAAGUGCCGGUAUGAAAGGAAGGUUGCUGGCAGACUGGCUUGCAUUUUUGUAAAGGGGGGAGAGAACCCACGCCUAAUGCAGGGGGUACUGCAUGCAGUUGGUUACAUAAUGGCAUCAACUGGGCAAAUUGACAGCACAGACUGUAUUAUAAAUUCUGUAUCUAAAGAAGGUACAUUGGGGAUGAAUUCUUUCUGGAGGCUGAUAAGGCCAGAUCACAUGGGAAGGCCGCAUCAGAAAAGAGAAGGGAAGGAUGAUUCACAAAAAAAGGCAGAUUUGGGAAAUGUAUACUGUAUGUGUGAGCCAUGGACUGCAACUGUCUACUGGAGUCUAGCAUUAUAUACUCCCAGGCUCCUGUUAACAUUCCUGUGUCUCUGCUUCCUGUUAAAUGCCUUAACUUUUUAGCUCUUCAGGUGGUAAGGAAGUUUGAAAAAACUUAGUGUCUGGAAGGGUCACAAACAAACAUGUUGGUAAGGCAGCUCAAGAUUUAUUUCUCUUCCAAAUGCCUCUGGUUACUAAGAUCUAUUCAGAGUUCUCAGGAAGGCUGACUCUUGAUAUCCUCAAAAACUUAUUUUGGAAAACUCUUUGGAAGGGGAUUGUCAUAUCUGGAAUGGAGAAGAUGAUGCUUCUUCCCCCAGUCAAGCUAGCUAGAAAAAUGGAGCAUGUUUGGCUUCUUUCAUAUACGGUAUCUUUGCCCCCUUAUUUCUGUUGCCCAGUUGUUUGCUCUGCAAUAACCAUUCUGAAAACACUCUGCUUGUGUGCCUGUGUUCUUGUUGCUACCCAAAUCAGCUGCUCAGGAAGCAGGACCCAGUGGCCUUCUGGUUGCUUUCAUGAUGCAAGGCUCCAAAGCUUAUGGUUAAGAAUAGUAAUAUAGAUUACAAUUGAGAACCCAGUAUAAACUAAACAUGUUCCAACAAACUCUGCUCUGGGGUCUAGUGGCACUUUGCAAAGUGCAAUGCAAAACUGGGAAAAGAUUAGCUGCAGUCCAGAUUGCCCAACUCUAAGCAAAGAAUGUUUUGGCUCAGUUGGUUCAGUCCCAUCUGUGCUUUAAGCAGAAGGAUUCCUAUAUUUUGGAAGUCAAGUUACUGAUGAUUUAGGUCAUCCUGCCCCAACCUGGUGCUCUUGAGAUGUUUUUGAUUAUGAAUUCUCAUGGGGGUUCAUACCGGUAGUCUUGGAGGGCACCAGGCUGGGGAAGGCUGAUUUAGGUUUUUCCCCUUUCACUCUUUGUGUUGCACCAAACUUCAGAGCUUCUAGUCUGGGCUACAAAGAACAUGUGAAGAAUGCACAUGUGUUUGCAAACAGAAUUGGGUCAUUCAGUUAAAUUGAUUGGAAGUAAGCUCAAGGCUGGUGGCAGGGGUAAUACCCCUUCACAAAACAUAUGCAAUUCAUUGCCACAAGUGAUGGUGAAAGGUUAAAUGGAGCCUCCAGGUUCAAAGGCAGUAUACCUCUGAAUACCAUUUGCUAGAGGAAUAAUUUCUGUCUUGCUCUGCUUGUCUAAUGGCAUCUUGUUAAAAAUGUGCUGGCCUGUUUGGAAUGAACCAUUGAUUCAUAUCCGGCAUAAGAUCUGUGUAUGUCUGAGGGAGAAGCUUCUUGUAAAGUCCAUAGGCACUUCUUAUGUCAUCCCAUGUCAAUAAGGGUUCAGAUCUAUAAUACCAAUGACCAAUAUUGCUGAAGACCUUUGCUUAGUUUCCUGUUGGUGUGCCUGCCUCAUAUUUCUGUCCACUUCCUGUUUUUCUGAGUUUCCUUUCUUCAUUUGCAUAGCUUCCUGUGUGCUCAUAGCCCUUGACUUCAAGCAGCCUACGCUAGCCUCCCCGUGGUUGAGCGUUGGAAGAUAUUUCUAUGACAGUUCCCUGAGAAGCCAAGACUGAUAGUUCUGCUCUCUAUGAUACUUGGCUGAAACAGCUUUCUAAAAGGUUCCCUAAGCACUCUUGUUCUUUCUGCUUAUAAUACUACAUUUUGCGGUCUGGUUUGCAUCCUCCACAGUAAGGGCUUGUGCAGGCUAGUUAAGUGAAACUUUAUUUAUUUACAUACUGCUUAAUGCUAAAUUUGGCUUCUAAAUGGUUUACAAUAUAUAACUAUGGGGACUGCAGAAUUGGGGACAUUAGCAUUUGAGUUGAAUGCUGGCAGAAGCUGAACCCUGUUGGAGCAGCACACUUUACUCUGGAUACAAGACCCUGGUUUUAGGAGAAUAAGAAAUAUAUUUCUUAUUGGAAUAAAUGUUGUAUAGGAAAGAUGCUAGUUCUGUCUUGUUAAGGGAGGGAAGAGAAGUAGGAAGAUCAGGUCAGCAAUUAUUAUUGUUAUUGUUAUUAUUAUCAUCAUCCACCCUUCACCCUAAAGUCCCAGGGCAGGUUACAUCAUUAAAAACACUAAAAACUUACAAUCACACAAAUAAGGUGGGUCCUAAAAACAUGCACCUCAAGUGUCAAAAGCCAGGGUAAAAAAGUGCAUCUUCAGCAUUCUCCAGCAACUGUAUAAUGAAGUUGCUAGAUGCACCUCCACCUGAGUAUAAGGCAGAGGAACUAUCAAGCAGGUCUUCUUUGCCAAUCUCAGCACCCAAGAGGGUCUCUAAGGAAGAAGGCGGUCUAAGUUACCAGUAACGCUAAAGGAAGAACAACCCAGGUUGGGAUAAGGACAGUCUUGGAAGCUUGGCGCUUUCUUAUGCAGGUGCAUUGGCCUACAGUGCAAGCUAGGUUGCACCCCAAUACUUCCAAGAGGUUCAUCCUGAUCAAGAUGGAGUAAAAAUUAGUGAUUCAGCCAGAGCCCCUGGUAGAAGUCAGAAGAUGAAGGUGGUACAGCUUGGGGCAGGAAGGUUGAUCUUCUCCUGUGUUCCUCUGCCGUACGUUAUGGUCAUUGAGAUUUUGUCAUUUUUAAAGCACUUUCCCACUUGCAUAAUGGUAUCUAGUGCAGGCUUGUAGCCAUUUUUUUUCAUGGGAGGUUGCAUUUGGCUUGAACCUGUGGUUUUGUUUUUCUAGCGAUUGCAACUGGGGCAUAAGGCAGCACAAACGCUGCCACAGCAACCUUGAAGAGGGAAAGAUACAGAAGAUUAAUCAGAUUGUGCGUAACAUGGCUAAUUGCAGAGUGUCCAUUUGUAUGUAUACCUAAGGUUGUUCUUUUGGCUUUGAGCAAACAUGAUCACCUUGCUUGCCUGCCUGCAAUACUUGAGUGAGUGAAGGCAGUUUGGGGGGCUGUUGCUGUGUUCUAACAUUUAUGUAGUGCAGAUUGUGCUCGAUGCUGUACAUAUUGCAGUGAUGGUGACUGUUCUUUUGCAAGAUGAGCAGCCUGACCCACUGAUUGCAGUGGAAUAUACUUCCAAGUAGGUAGCCCAAAUUUUUGGUAAUUAAGAACUUGAACUGCCUGUGCCUUCUGGGAUGUUACAGUUGCAGAACGCACUAAGGAAGAGACAAACCUUUUGCAGUCAACAAUGGCAUGUUUAAUCUGGUUGAAACUUGAACUGGAGCCACUAUAAACAAAGAAAUAGAUCCAUGGGCAGCUUAUGCUGGUUCAUAGCAGCUAUCUGAGUUUUUCUUGAGGGUGAGGGGGAAGUAUGGCAAAUAGAGGAACUGAAGGGCAAAGGCUGUUGACAGUUUUUUUUUCCCCAGACCAUAAAACUUCGCUCCUGUUUCUUCAACCACACUUGCUUCCUUUGCAUUGCUCAAGAAACCCUCCCAACUGACUGUAGCCAAUGCUGUCGUCUUCAUAAGGUCCUGUUGUGUUCACUUCCUGUGACUACACAGAGAAAUGAUGAAAUUGUCCUUUAUUGUUCCAAGUGCUUGAUGGUGAAGCUGAGUCAAGGCUACUCAGGGGGUGUUAAUAAAUGUGCAUGUUGAAACAAAUUCAUUUUGUUUUCCAGACUGGAAAAACUUUUUUCAUGUGGCCCCUACACACAAAGCUUCAGUGCAAGGUAACACUGUCGCAGCACAAAAUGGAAUUGCUUAAAUUGCAGUGAUAACUUAUACUGCUAUUUUUGCAGUAGCACUAGAAAAGUACAGAAUGUAGUAUUGGGUGCACAAUUCAAUUUUCCUAGAAUCAGGACUAUUAUUUUUCGAAAAGCAAGAUUCCAGCCCUUAUGGUUGAGAAUAUAUGCUUGAAAGCAUACAAACUGUUUAGGGAAGUUUUUAAUGUUUGAUGCUGUACUGUUUUUAAUAUUCGGUUGGAAGCCGCCCAGAGUAGCUGGGGAAACCCACCCAGAUGGGUGGGGCAUAAAUAUUAUUAUUAUUAUUAUUAUUAUUAUUAUUAUUAUUAUUAUUAUUAUUAUUAUCUCUCAGAAGUAACAUCUAACAUUACCUUCCAUGGCCCCUUUGUCCUGUCUAGUGGAUAUAGGGCAAACUGCAAAAAUUAUGCUUAAAUUUGCAUAAUUUAUACAGGAUAUAAAAUGUUGGUUAUUUUGGAAUAAUUUGGGUUCUUCUUAAGCAGGGUGUGUGUGCAUUCACACGUAAUUUUAUAAUGCACACACAUACCAUAAACCUGGCUGUAACUCUGACAAAUCAGAUGCUUUCCAUGCAGAAGUCCUGGGUUCAAUCCCCAGCAUCCUCAUGUGGGGCUGGGAGGGAACCCUGUCAGAUUCUAGAGAGCCACUGCCAGUAAAUACAGACAAUAUUGAGCUAGAUGUACCAAUAAGGCAACAUCCAUUGUUCCCCUUUUGCCUGUCAUGCUUAAACUUAUUCUAGCUGCUGUCCCUGGCAUGUCCCUCUUUAGUUAGGUUGACUGCUGCUUUGCCUUGGGUGGGGUGGUCCCCACCAAAAUAUUUGUUUGCAGGACCCACAACCGUCUCAGCUUCUCCCAUCCCCAAAUGCCUUUGCGACCCAGCUCUCUUCUCUGCUGCCCAUGGCAGCUGUUGAUACUCUGUUCUGCCUGCCUACCAUAGUCACUUAUGGUAUUUCAUCACAUGAAGUGGGUUUGAAUACAGUAGACCAGGCAUCCCCAAACUUGGUCCUCCAGCUGUUUUGGGACUACAACUCCCAUCAUCCCUAGCUUACAGGACCAGUGGUCAGGGAUGAUGGGAAUUGUAGUCCCAAAACAGCUGGAGGACCAAGUUUGGGGAUGCCUGCAGUAGACCCACAGCUUACACAGGGGUUACAUUCUGGGGAUAGCGCAUAAAGCCAAAAUUGCACAUAGUCAAAACACAUUGGGUGCAAUGAAGGGUAGAAUUGCCAUUUCCUCCCGCCCUCCGGAUGCUUGCCCCCUUUCCACCUUUUAAUUAAAAACAAAAAUCGCCUAGCAAGUAAAGCUGAAUGCACACAAGUUAAAUGCACAUAAGUUGCACAUUUACUGUAUUCUUGGAAGCUACUGUGUUUUUCAGGAUAGCUACUUUGGUUACAUUGUUCACAUGCAAAUAAAGAUGGAUAGGCUUGUCCCACUGGUCUCCAGGAGCCUCACAUACCCAGAAAAGGGCAUUGUCUUUGAGCAUGUUGCCUUGGGCUCAACCUGCCUUAUGAUUUGUAUUAACCGUGCUGCAGGGCAUGGAUGCUGAGAAUGGUUUGUCAAGCUAACAUUGGAGUUUUCUAAGCAUGUGUGACAUUCUCUGGCUCGCUUGUCUUUGAAUCUUUAACACUAAACUGAUCAUGCUGCACAGAUGUACUGUAUCUGAUACUUCCCCCUUUCCAAACUCUUCCUCUCUACUUCCAGAUCCACAUCCCUUCUUUCCCACAGGUUCCUUUGGAUCCAGAGCCGCAGGUGACAAGAGCUGCAGGUUCUUCCCCAAGUGGAGCCCUCACCAGCUGAUUAUUGCAACUUCUACUGUGUCAGCUCAUCAGGUCUUAAGGUUGCCCCCCUAAUUCCUCCUUUGGUUUGUCCAAACAUCAUUCCCCCGCCUUCCCCUGCCUCCUUCUUGCACCAGUGUGUUGUGCGAAUUUCUCCUUGAGUCCCUCUCUGAAAUCCAACCCUCUUGCAGCACAUUGCCAGGUAGAUGGGAAGACCUUACGCUUUUCUUACUUUUGUGAUGGCGCACAGUUCUUGGUAUUUAACCAUAGCAUCCAUUCAUUGCUUUUAUCAUGGAUAAGCAAGGUUGGAAGAGUAUUUCAUUUUUUUUUUUUUAACAUACUUUUUAUUAAUUUUACAAAAUACAAAAAAACAAAAAAACGGUACAUACUUAAACCCCUUUUCCACCUCCUUCCUACCCACCCACAUGGGUCCUCCCCUGCCACAGAAGUAUCCCAUGUUUGUGAACAGUCAGAAAUGGUCCAUUUUAUGCUUGGAUUUCUGUCCUCCUCCCCCUCCCCUGACCCCAAAGCCCCCCCCUGCCACCAGGGAGCUCCAGCAAACCAGGGCAGUACGCAGGAGGACAUCCAUCCAACCAUCUAUUGUUAUACCAAAAAAAAGAGAAAAAUAGAAAUAGGAAAAAAAGGGGAAAAAGAAAGGGCGAAGAAAAAAAAGAAAAAGAAAAAAACAAUACAAAACAGAAAAAUUUUUCUUGCAUUCAUAGUUGAAAAACCAUAUUUUAUGGGCUUCCCCUCCCCCCCUUCCCCGGUUUUCAUCCCUUUUUUAUCAUCUGCAACAGUUUCUUACUUUAUAAAAAUACACCUUUGUAUCUUAUACAACUUAUAAAUCAAUUGUUAACAUUUUCAUCUAAUAUUCAAAUCACUGAAAAUUCAAACUCCCAUUUUCUCUUCCCGUGCCUAAUUUUUUUUUCUCCCUCUAUAAGCCUCCAUAUUUUCACAUUUUCCAAAAUCCAUUCACUUUUAAAACUAUAACUAUUCUCAAUUUAACCUUACAUCCCCGAUUACCGGCUUCCGGGUUCAGCGCCAGCGUCGAUCGGCGGGGUUUCGUCUCGUCUCCGAGACGGCCCGUCUCUGCUAGGAGUGGGGAGGGCAGCGAGAGCAACGCUGCGCCCCUUAGAACCUCGGGAAGGGCGUCCCGAGGGCAAUUUGCUCGGCACAGACCCAAUCCGGACUCCCCAACUCUUCGGUUAGCUCUAAUAAGAGCUCCGGAGCGAGGAGGGUAGAAGUCGCGGGGGCCAUUUUGAGCGGCAACGUUAUUCUAGCAGGGAGAAGCUUCAAGCCGAAGGCGGAGAGCGCUGGAUUCUUCCGAAAAUAAAACGAUUGGAAAAGACUGUAAGUAACCUCACGAUUUGGAUUAUAAAACAAUUUGGUCUGGGAGAGAGGGGAGAAAAGAGGAAGCCACCCCCCCCCACGGCAACAAAGAGACAGUAAAUAGAAACCCGAAGCCAUAAACAGAAGAUUUGUAAUUCAAAAGGAUCCCUCAAAGGCAUCAAAGAGAAUAUCCCCUUUGAUGCAGGGUGAAAAGGGGAGAGAGACUGUGGUUUAUGACUGCCCUGCAGCAAUGAGGUAAAGCCUAAGAAAAACCUUUCUUUCCCUCGGGAGCCGGCAGCCCAGGCAAUCCAGUGAGUUGAUCAGGAUUUAUAAGUCAAUUUUUACUUCACUUUGUAUUUCUGGACUUUGUGGAAUUUCUUUUUUGGCUUAAGUGCUUGUGAAAUGUGAGUUCGAACUUUAUUGUUAACAAGACUUGAAGAAUGCAGCCAGCUUGUUAAAAUGGAGUCGAGAAAAUAAACUGUGAUCAUAUUCCACCCCACGUGAUAAGUUUUGACCUUGGCAGGACUGAAAUAUGUCAACAAAAAAGUGUUCCCCUGAGUUCCAGCGGUCUGUUUUGACCUUAAUGUGGGAAACAAGAAUAGAGUUAUGUCAAGAGGAGACACGACGACAGGAGUUACAGCAGAAAUUUCAGGAGGUGAUGGCGGAAUAUGAUUUUCUAGGAGAUGAAGCUUUUGACACUGAAAAAGAGCAAUGUGAGAAUGACAAUGAUGGGGAAGGAAAAGAUGAAGAUGAGGACUGUGAUGAUUCAACACAAAAUGAAACACACCAUGAAAAAAAUGAUGACUCUACUCUACAAAAAGUUGGAUGGAGUGCCCUGCCUUUGAGGGGGGCACGAUUGGUAUUAUUGGAACUCCAGAACGCCCACAGGGAAGAAGGAAAAAAUAUGCAGAGAAGAGAAGAAAUUCAGGGGUCCUGUAUGGUGACCUGGAUGGCAAGAGACUGUAAACAGGGGGUGGGGUGAAGGGAAAGUGAUGUUGUGAUUAUAAGGAUGGAUUAACAGGUUUAUAACUGGUCUGCUGAUUUUGGAAUUUGCUGGAUUGGGGGGGGUGGAGCUGGAAGAGUAUUUCAAAUUCCAAGGCGCAAGUACUUUUUUCCACCCUAGGAGUGGAAGCUGCUGGGCUCUGGCCUUGGACAGACCUAAAUAAAUAUUUCAGUACUCCUGGAUGCCAGCUUGAUUCAGAUUUCUAGGUGGCUGGUAGUUUUCCAGCUUCUGCCUUAGAGCCUCCAGUGCAGGCAUUUAACAUAUGUGGUUACCAAACCAGUUGUGCAAAGGGAGAAGGGAUGUCUGUUUUCAUAGGCUGUUACCUAAGAUGUGUUUCCAAAGUAUAUCUGGAGGGCAGAUAUUAUUACCUGCUCUCAACUUGGGGUUGUCUUCUGGACUUCCAGCUAAAGUGCGUAGCAUUUGAGGGCUAAAUUAUAUGCGCAACUGCUCUUGAAGUGGUAAGGCUGGAGACAACUUUUGUAUUGGUUUCUGUGUGGUUUUCUUUUCAGUGUGCCCCUGUGCAUUCCAAGCUCUGGAAAUGACAACUUUCUACAUCUGCAAUCUAACUGCCACUGUGUGGUUUCAUUAGAGCUGGAAGGCAAAGCUGGUGAUGUUUCAGAGACAGCAACAUAUCUAAAGCAUAUAUAGGUGGUUUGAUAAGGGAAUGACGUGUGUGAUUUAAUUGUGUGACUGUCCACCUUUUGCGGAAGAUUCGAUAACCUAACUGAGCUGUACAGCUCAGUGUUCCCUAACAUUUGUGGCAAGCCAUUUGAUGUUUUAGUUGGUCUUUGCCAGACUCCAUUUUGCAGAUGCCCUGAGCUACCUAGUUAUGAACAAUGAAAUGUAUACAUUUUUUCCCUGAGCUCAUAGCAUGGGCUGUGUUGUGAAAUUGGAGCCUCUAAAUUUGUGUUUUGUGUGAAAGACAGCUGCUUUCUGUAGAAAAUUGAACUUUCAAUUUAAU